CAGUUCUCUGAGGAUUUAUGGGAGGUGCUGAGCUUCAAUCACAACAUUAAAUUUAGUGACCUUCAAGGAGAACAGCAGCAGAUUACGGCUGCCUCAGCUUGUACAUGCCAGGACUCAGCCAUUCAUCCUGCCACCAGACAAAUGCACGUUGCAUGGACUUCUGCUUGGAACAGGGGACACUGGAAGCAAAAAUCCCCAAUGAUAACUUCUUGUUGCCUGAAAGCCAAGAUAGAGGACCCUCGGCUACUUCUCCAGUGCCAUGUUUGCCUGCACACCACCGUGUUGCACCAUGAUAAUGGACUGAUCCUCUGAAAAUAAGGGAGUACUCAUCCUCAUCCUAGCCCUUGCUUCUGAUGGAGCUGGCUUCAGACAAAAUGGUCUAGAAUGAAGAGGAUCCAGGACAAGGACCCUACUUCUUCAUGGUUCCAGAAGUCUAAAGGAAAGACUGAAGCCUCUACAUGGAUGGGAGCUCAGGAAAAAUGCCACAGCUGGGCUGAGUCGAUUUGCUUUUCCGUGUCUGUGUCGAUCUCUGUCAAAAGCCAGAUGAUCUUUAUGGCGUGAAAAUGUUGUCUUGGAGAAGAGGAAGAAAAAGAAAAAACUCUGAGUUAGUGUUCUUUUGAUUACAGAUACAGAGAAAUGGUUCCUCAUUUUUGUGAACACCUUAAGACCACUUCCAAUGAGCUAAUCCAGUAGGUGUAUGCCUGUCUGUCUGCCUGCCUUCAUCUAUCUAUCUGUCUCUCUAUCU